GCAGGAGUGGCGGAAUGGCAGACGCAGCAGACUCAAAAUCUGCCGGUAGCAAUAUCGUGUGGGUUCAAGUCCCAUCUCCUGCA
rnacentral:tRNA from 2 species